rnacentral:rRNA from 1 species
ACAGUACGGCUGCUAUACAUGCAGUCGAGCGGACCGAUCGGGAGCUUGCUCCCUUAGGUCAGCGGCGGACGGGUGAGUAACACGUGGGUAACCUGCCUGUAAGACUGGGAUAACUCCGGGAAACCGGGGCUAAUACCGGAUGCUUGAUUGAACCGCAUGGUUCAAUCAUAAAAGGUGGCUUUUACCUACCACUUACAAAUGGACCCCCGGCCCAUUACCUAUUUGGUGAGGUAACGGCUCACCAAGGCAACAAUGCUUACCCAACCUGAAAGGGUGAUCGGCCACACUGGGACUGAAACACGGCCCAAACUCCUACGGGAGGCAGCAUUAGGGAAUCUUCCGCAUGGGACAAAAUUCUGACGGACCAACCCCCCGUGAUUGAUGAAGGUUUCGAAUCGUAAACUCUGUUGUUAGGGAAAACAAUUACGGUUCAAUUAGGGCGGUACUUUGACGGUACUUACCCAGAAGCCACGGCUACCUACUUGCACACCGGGGAAAAAAAAAUUAAUGAUUUUGAUCUGGCUCAGGACGAACGCUGGCGGGGUUCCUUAUACCUGCAAGUUGAGCGGACCGAAGGGAGCUUGCUCCCUUAGGUCAGCGGCGGACGGGUGAGUAACCCGUGGGUAACCUGCCUGUAAGAAUGGGAUAAAUUCGGGAAACCGGGGGUAAUACCGGAUGCUUGAUUGAACCCCCUGGUUCAAUCAUAAAAGGUGGCUUUUAGCUACCACUUACAGAUGGACCCGCGGCGCAUUAGCUAGUUGGUGAGGUAACGGCUCACCAAGGCGACGAUGCGUAGCCGACCUGAGAGGGUGAUCGGCCACACUGGGACUGAGACACGGCCCAGACUCCUACGGGAGGCAGCAGUAGGGAAUCUUCCGCAAUGGACGAAAGUCUGACGGAGCAACGCCGCGUGAGUGAUGAAGGUUUUCGGAUCGUAAAACUCUGUUGUUAGGGAAGAACAAGUACCGUUCGAAUAGGGCGGUACCUUGACGGUACCUAACCAGAAAGCCUG